UACGGGGGGAGCAAGCGUUGUUCGGAUUUACUGGGCGUAAAGGGCGCGUAGGCGGCGCAACAAGUCACUUGUGAAAUCUCCGGGCUUAACCCGGAGCGGCCAAGUGAUACUGUCGUGCUAGAGUGCGGAAGGGGCUACUGGAAUUCUCGGUGUAGCGGUGAAAUGCGUAGAUAUCGAGAGGAACACCUGCGGCGAAAGCGGGUAGCUGGGCCGACACUGACGCUGAGGCGCGAAAGCCAGGGGAGCGAACGGG
rnacentral:rRNA from 1 species